rnacentral:lncRNA from 1 species
GCCUUUUUUCCUGCCAUCGUGAUCCUCUUACCCAUAACCUAAGUACUAUAUUUUUUUCCGUUAUCCCCUUUGAGAGUUUGGGGCCCGUCUCUGGGAGACAUUACCGAGAGUAAUACUUUUUAAAAUACUGGGUAAAUUGAGGAAGGAGAAGCCCACAGAGAUGCAGAAGAUGAUGAAGUUUGCAUCAUACAUUUGUACCAGCCCUAAGCAAGAUUUAGGACUCCUUUUCUAGCUGAUGAAGUCCAUUGUUGCAAGAGACCCUACAACAGCUUCUAAGACAAGCUUACUUCACUGUUUCUUUGCUGCCUUCGCUUGACCCAGUCAGGCUAGUGGUAGUAACGACGGUGGGUAUUUACCACCCACUUGCUGGAUACACGACGCACUUAGGGAUCUCGUAUGAUCUCAUUUAAGCUUAACAACAAAUUUAAGAUUGUAGGUACUAUUAUCACUGUUCUGUGCUGCCACGAGAAAUAGGCCCUAAAGCGUCAUUAAGGUCAACAAAAGUAUUUUGGGGAAAAGAGGACAAAACACUCCCUGGCGCCCCUGUAAGGAAAGAGCUCAACGCGGGCCGCAGCCGCAAGGAUUUCUGUACCGCGGUCUGCAGGGUGGGGGCGCGGCGGGCUUCCCCGAGGCCCCGCCCCCGCCCCCGCCCCCACAAGCCCUUGCAGCCGCGGCGGCCCCACAGGACAGAAGGACUGGAGCGGGCCGCAGAGAUUUAUGGGAGGUGGUCUGCUGGGUGGGGUCGCCGAGGCCCCGCCUCCUUCCCCUGGGAGCCGCAGAGGCCCCGCCCCGCCGAGGCCCCGCCCCGCCGAGGCCCCGCCCCGCCGAGGCCCCGCCCCCGGCCCCCACAAGCCCUUGCAGCCGCCGCAGUGACUGCGCAGAAUGGCUGGAGCGGGCGGCUGCGACGGCGAAGUCCCGGCGCCGGGGAUGGAGAAGAGAAAGCUAAAGUGACACUCCUUGGAUGGCCUUGAAAGUGUACUUCCGUGCAGUGACCUGCCUAAGGAAGCCAUGUGGAAUGGAGCUGAGACGGACCAAUAAAUGAUGAUCAGCAAGAAAAGGGGGACCUCAGUCAUACAACCCCAAGGAACCAAAUUCUGCCAACAAAAAAGAAUGAGCUUGGAAGAGGAUUUUUCCCCAAGGCCUCCUGAUAAGAACUUAUCUAGUGACAGUUUGAUGCCAGCCUUGUGAUACUCUUUGCAGAGAAUCCCACCUUGCCUUGCCCGGCUUCUGACAUAGAGAACUGUAAGUUAGCAAGCAGGUGUUGUUUUAAGCUGCUAAAUUUAUGGUAAUUUAUUAUGCAGUAAAAAAAUUAAUACAAUGACAAAAAUGGGUGUGUAUAGAUUGGUAAACAUGUAAGUCUAAACAAACAUCCAUAUAAAAAUAACAGUAUCUAUUUUGAGGGGGGUCUCCAAAAAAAAAAUUCUGAGCAAAAUCAUAGAAGUUGAAAGGAGUUAACUUUAGUUAAAGUAUUCUAAGGUAUUUUUAUUUGGGGGCAGGAAUUUGUAGGUGUGGUAUCCCUCCAAAAAGGAGAUUGGAUUUAGGAUCAGAUUUAGAAUCUGAUCUCCCUUUCUUCCUGGGCAUAUACCCAUUCAAUUAGUUCCUUGCAUCCUAUGCAACUUGCAUAUGUGGCCAUAUGUCAAAUUCUGACCAAUCUAAUAUGAGUUGGAGGGGCACCUGAGUGGCUCAGUUGGUUAAGCAUCUGCCUUUGGCUCAGUUUAUGGUCCUGAGGUCCUGGGAUAGAGCCCUACAUCAGGCUCCUUGCUCAAUGGGAAGCCUGCUUCUUCCUCUCCCUCUACCACUCCCCAUGCUUGUGCUCUCUCUCUCUCUCUCUCUCAAGUAAAUAAUAGAAUCUUAAAAAAAAGUAAUAUGAGUUGAAGUCAUGUGUGUACCUUUCGCCUUAUUUGCUUAAAAGAAAAUCGCUUGUCCUAGACUUCUCUUUCCCUUUUAUUUUUCUUUCCUUUUUUUGAUAUUUGGAACAUGAACAAUAUAGAGACCUAGCUUUGACUCUAGAAAUGUAGACUGUAGGGAAUAGUGUAACAAUAAAAUGGAAUCACGUUGAUCCUUGAGUGACUAACAGCAGAGCCAUACUGCUAACCUGACUAUAUCUUAGGACCAUUACUUAAGGAAGAAAUUUACAUUAAACUCUGUAUUUUUAGAGCUCUUUCUUUCUGCUUUCUUUUUAAAAUAUUUUAUUUAUUUGACAGAGAAAACACAAGCAGGGGGAGCAGCAGGCAGAGAGAGAGGGAGAACCAGGCUCACUACUAAGCAGGGAGCCCAAUGUGGGGUUCAAUCGCAGGACCCUGGAAGCAUAACCUGAGCCAAAGGCAGAUGUUUAACAGACUGGGCCCCCCAGGCGCCCUUAGAGCUCUCUCUUAGAGUAAUUUAACCUUAAGCUAAGUAAAUCGGUUCCUGAAACAAAUGCAACAAUCACAGAAACCUAAAAUAUGGGACACUUGGCUUAGCAAAAUUUAGGGCUUAGCAGUGAGGCAGUGGAUCUUGUGUUGUUUGGGGGUACAGAAGCAGUUGGCUUUUUCCAGCUUGUGAGGCUCAAAUUUCUGGAUUCUCUAUCUCCUUCCUUCUCUGCUUCCAAAUUGGCAUAUUUUUGCCUUAGCUCAUCUUUUUCUUAUAAUACCUUGCUAAAAGCAACAAGAGCAGCCAACACAUAUUCCUUAUUGCUUUUAGUAAUGAAUUAUAAGAAAUAGCAUGAGAUAAAACUACAACUGAAACAUUUCCCUAAAGUUUCCUGCAAGAAAGAAAAGCAACCCUUUGACAAAGAUCUGAUAAAGUGUGUUGGCUUCUAACCUAAACCUAUUGUUGAGAUAGCUUCAAAAGAGCUAUGAUUAAAAUGAGAAAGAGGAAGAGAAGGGCUAAGGAGCCAGAAAAAGGCUGGCUUAGAAACUUUGUC